CAAGAAGGAAUCGUGGGAGGACCCAUAGUUGAUGUGGAUUUUGAUCAGAGUCAUAUAGCUGAAAAAUGCUCCCAAUUAUUGCGGAAGAGAUUCUUCUAGCCAAACAAUUCUCAAUACUGAUCAAUAUAUAAACUUGGAAGGCAGUGGCAGCUCUGAGUGGGGGAACGAUAAAAAGUCAUCUAAACCUCCAAUGGAGCCUGUCUUUAGCUGUCCAAUAUGUAUGGGCCCAUUUAUAGAGGAAGUGUCAACAAGGUGUGGUCAUAUAUUCUGUAAGAGUUGCAUUAAGGCUGCUAUAAGUGCACAGGGCAAAUGCCCUACAUGUA